GGCUGAUUAGCUAGUUGGCGGGGUAACGGCCCACCAAGGCGAAGAUCGGUAGCCGGCCUGAGAGGGCACACGGCCACACUGGCACUGAAACACGGGCCAGACUCCUACGGGAGGCAGCAGUGGGGAAUCUUGCACAAUGGGGGAAACCCUGAUGCAGCGACGCCGCGUGAGCGAUGAAGCCCUUCGGGGUGUAAAGCUCUUUCGACGGGAACGAUAAUGACGGUACCCGAAGAAGAAGCUGCGGCUAACUACGUGCCAGCAGCCGCGGUAAUACGUAGGCAGCAAGCGUUGUUCGGAAUUACUGGGCGUAAAGAGUGUGUAGGCGGUGUUCUAAGUCUGUUGUGAAAUCUCCCGGCUCAACUGGGAGGGUGCGGCGGAGACUGGAAUGCUAGAGUAUGGGAGAGGUAAGCGGAAUUCCUGGUGUAGCGGUGAAAUGCGUAGAUAUCAGGAGGAACACCUGUGGUGUAGACAGCUUACUGGACCAUGACUGACGCUGAGACACGAAAGCGUGGGUAGCA
rnacentral:rRNA from 1 species